GGGGGUGAAAGGCUUUCGACAGGGUUGUUGAGCCUUGGUCAGCGAGUAGCGGAGUUGCACCGCUAUAAAAGUAACAACUUAAAAUUAACUGACAAUAAUAAAUCAGUAGCUCUUGCUGCUUAAUUAGCGGCUUGCGUUCUUUUACAGAGUGCCACGGCUGUAUAAGGGCGUCGACUUAGUGGCGAACAUGAAUGAAAGAGUGCCUCGGCUUUCAUCAGGAAUCAGAGGAUACCGUAGGGCGCAGGCUGUCUGCCGCCGGCGCCUAAGGGGAUAACUUAAAAGACAGACUACACUCGUAGAGCCCUUGGUAAGAUGAUUUUGGACGCGAGUUCGAUUCUCGCCACCUCCACCA
rnacentral:tmRNA from 2 species